rnacentral:rRNA from 1 species
AGUGAACGCUGGCGGUAGGCCUAACACAUGCAAGUCGAACGGCAGCACAGUAAGAGCUUGCUCUUACGGGUGGCGAGUGGCGGACGGGUGAGGAAUACAUCGGAAUCUACUUUUUCGUGGGGGAUAACGUAGGGAAACUUACGCUAAUACCGCAUACGACCUACGGGUGAAAGCAGGGGAUCUUCGGACCUUGCGCGAAUGAAUGAGCCGAUGUCGGAUUAGCUAGUUGGCGGGGUAAAGGCCCACCAAGGCGACGAUCCGUAGCUGGUCUGAGAGGAUGAUCGGCCACACUGGAACUGAGACACGGACCAUACUCCUACGGGAGGCAGCAGUGGGGAAUAUUGGACAAUGGGCGCAAGCCUGAUCCAACCAUACCACGUGGGUGAAGAAGGCCUUCGGGUUGUAAAGCCCUUUUGUUGGGAAAGAAAAGCAGCAGGUUAAUACCCCGCUGUUCUGACGGUACCCAAAGAAUAAGCACCGGCUAACUUCGUG